rnacentral:lncRNA from 1 species
GACAGUUCUCAGUGACUUCCAACAAUCAAGUGCCAGUGACACUCUGUGAUUUCAGAAGUUAGGUCACAGAAGACACUGUCCGUCUUUUCUAUUCUUACACUGCCAGCUCUGGAAGAAGCCAGCUUCUAUGUUGGGAGGAUACUGAAGCAGCCAAUCGUCAGGUCCACAUGGUAAGAAGCAAAGUUUCUUGGAACUGCUCUGAGCCAGCCAUCACGAAGUGGGUUGCCUGGCCCAUUAGAUCUUAGGUGACUGUAAUUUCUGUUAGUGUUUGGACAGUCUCCAGAGAGACCCCUGGGCCAGAGAACCCAGCUCUGCUGCCCCUAGAUUCUUUUUUUUUUUUUAUGACGUAGAAAACUGAAAACACUGAAGACAAAGAGGAUCUUGAAAGUAGCCAGAGAGAAAAGAUUGUCCACACAGCAAUGAAUAUUCUAACACCAGUUCUUUUUUCAACAGAGACAGUGGAAGCCAAGGAGACUAUGGGAUGGCAGCUUUGAACCACUGUGUGAAAAGGACUAUCAAGUUGAACUCUGAUCCUUCCAAGGGUGACGGUAAAAAUAAAGACAAUGAAAAAUGUUUUAAAAUAUUAAACAACUGGCUACCAAGAACACUUACCAAAGGAAUUUAUUAAGUUGCACACCAGGAAGGAAGAAAAUAUUAACAGGAGAUUUUAAAGUCCAAGAAUAAACCAUGAAGAGAGCAAAUGACAGAUAUUUAAAUAUUGGUUGUCUAAAAUGAUAGUAAGUGCAUUUGUUGUUAAAUUAAACAUCAUUUAAAAAUGC